rnacentral:rRNA from 1 species
UACGUAGGGAGCAAGCGUUGUCCGGAUUUAUUGGGCGUAAAGAGCGUGUAGGCGGCUUUACAGGUCCGCUGUGAAAACGCGAGGCUCAACCUCGCGCCUGCAGUGGGUACGGGCAGACUAGAGUGCGGUAGGGGAGAUUGGAAUUCCUGGUGUAGCGGUGGAAUGCGCAGAUAUCAGGAGGAACACCGAUGGCGAAGGCAGAUCUCUGGGCCGUAACUGACGCUGAGGAGCGAAAGCGUGGGGAGCGAACAGG